AGAUACAUCAAUGUUAAAUCGGGAUAAGAUGUUUGGAGUCGGAUUGCGUUUACGCGCGGGAGUGUGGUGAUUUUUAUUCGAAUUGAGCAUAAAAACAUUUUGUUGUAAUGUGGGCCGUGGAAAUGGCUAUUGAAUGUAGUAUUCUGAUGUCUGAAGCCAACCAUCCACUGAAUGUUUUCGGUUGUCCAUCAUUGUCGCAUGUGCAGUUUGGCCACUUUGAAAGACAUUCCAAUCCUGUGGUUUUGAGGGUUUUGGGGAUAUCUCAUUGUUGUCUAAAUCAUUGUUGUUCUAUUCCGUCACCAUGAAAGCAACAAGUCAUGGAGAGAUACUUUACGAGAAGACAACAAUCUUCUGCUGAGGCAAAAUAGUGUCCUUCCUUCUGAGAUGAACUUGCUGGCUUGUACCGGAUCUUCUGGAUUAAAAGAAGACCUCCAGUUAUUUACCAGACCGGUCUUGUUUAUGAUCACCAGACCUUCAAUAUAGUCAAAGGCAUUCUCCAUGGAUAUCAAUUGUUCUUGAUCUUCAGCAAAUGUGCUGAAAUCUGAAUAAAGCACCCUGAUCCACUUCACCUGUUGAAACUAGAUCAUCAAGGUGCUGGUGCACUGUAUGAACUGGUCUUUAUAGAUGCACAGUUUAAGACAUAGUUAACUUACCAUCUUCGGUGCCCUCUCCAGUGAUAUUCUUGCACGAGUUAUUACACCAAACUGGCCAAGUCCACCAAGGACCCCAUGAAAGAGGUAUUGCUUUAUUGCACGAACCUGUGACAACCUCGAGCUGUUGUACAUUUUGGAUUUGGGGGCCAUGUUGAAAGGCCUGACCACUGAUCCCAGCAUUGGAGAGCGUGCCCCCAACUGUUAGAUGCAGGUAGUCUGUCCAAGACUUGGGCGCCAACCCAUAUUUCAGACACUCAUGCAAGACGUUGAUCCAGAGCUCCCCAGCAGAGACAUCAACAUAAGGCAGUCGUCCCCUAUAGACCUGCACUUCUUUCCCAUUGAGACUCUCCAUAUUGAUCACAAUUCCAUGCAAUACCUGUGCUUGGCCUUGGAGUGAGUGCCCAUGUCCUCGAGCUGCAACAGUCAGUUCUGAACCAGGCCCCAUUUCCCAAACAUGCCUUAUUGUUGCUGCUAUAUCCAAUGUGUUCUUUGGGUGAAGAACUGCGGAAGGUAGAAAAUGAAACCGGUUGCCAAAAUCCAUUGCUGCGAACUCAUUCCUAUCAAAGGUAAAAUGGCCUUCGACGCUAAGCGACUUCAUUAAAGGUCCCUCUUGCACAAGAGACGAGCAUGGUCUGAUGUCCAUACUGCGCAUGAGCAAUACAACAAAGAUUCUGGUAAGCAGGAAAGCUAAAAGAGCUGAGACUGAAUUUAAAGAGGGGGCAGGAGAGUGACUGUUGGAGUCAAACCAAAAUUGUUGGUUGUGUAGAUUGUUCCAAUAGGUUCAUGAUUUACGAGUUCUUUUUCAUGGGGCAGAGCUGACUGCUGACAUUUCGCACGAAAAACCUUCGAGGAAUUUUGCUCUUUUUGGCCCCCAUCUCCUCUUGUUGUUUCUGUUCUUUGGUUGUAAAAUCACACAGGUAACAUCUCUUUUCUUGCUCUCUUUUACCAAUUUUUCUAAUCCAAUUCUCUUGUUAUUGCAUAGAAUGGGCAUGCUUGUUUGGUUGGUAUUGAGUUUUUAGUUCUGUUUUAGAUGUAUUCUAAUAUUUUGAAUUGCUUAGAAAAUAGUGAAAGUUUAUAUGAAAAAUAGGUGUUAGGAUGUGAUUUGAUAAAUUUUAUUAAAUAAAAAUAGAUUUACUAUAGUUUGAAAAU